UUAGAGUUUGAUCAUGGCUCAGGACGAACGCUGGCGGCGUGCUUAACACAUGCAAGUGGUGCGACGAACCAGGGCUUGCCCUGGGGCAAAGCCGCGAACGGGUGAGUAACACGUGAGUAACCUGCCCCGAUGACCGGGACAACCCGAGGAAACUCGGGCUAAUACCGGAUGUGCUCCUUUCACAUCAGUGAAUUGAGUAAAGGUAGCUUCGGCCUCCGCAUCGGGAUGGGCCCGCGGCCCAUUAGCUUGUUGGUGAGGUAACGGCUCACCAAGGCCGCGAUGGGUAGCUGGUCUGAGAGGACGAUCAGCCACACUGGGACUGAGACACGGCCCAGACUCCUACGGGAGGCAGCAGUGGGGAAUCUUGCGCAAUGCGCGAAAGCGUGACGCAGCAACGCCGCGUGGGUGAAGAAGGCCUUCGGGUUGUAAAGCCCUUUCAGGAGGGACGAAGGUUCGGCCGUUAAUAGCGGUCCGGACUGACGGUACCUUCACAAGAAGCCCCGGCUAACUACGUGCCAGCAGCCGCGGUACGCC
rnacentral:rRNA from 1 species